AUGGUGGCAGCGCCAGUUCUUGAUGAAUGUCGUAGUUAUCUAGCAGAUUUCGGGAGGUUUACUAUUGAGCAUUGUAUUAGAGAGUCAAAUUAUAUAGCUCAUGAGCUGGCUAGAUGGGGACGUGAUAAUAAUCCAUCUCGUUGGAUUGGUGCCCCGCCUGAUUUCAUUGUGAGUCUGCUGGCAGACGAUAUAUCCAUCCUUUGA
rnacentral:rRNA from 1 species